UUAAGUUCAGCGGGUAGUCCUACCUGAUUUGAGGCCAGAGUCAAAAAAUUGUCCGAGGACGAUUAGAAGCACGCUUCACAAUGCCAUUCCAGCGAAACUUAUUACGCCAGAUAGCAAUAGUAAACUUGCUAACUCCUUUAAGAGGAGCCAGUUAGACUGGCAACCUCCAAAUCCAAGCCAUUAAGAAACCCUAAUGGUUG
rnacentral:misc_RNA from 1 species